rnacentral:lncRNA from 1 species
GGUAGUCUGGUCUUUUUGAGCCAUUGUUAAUAAGGGAGACAGAUGAAUUAUUUAAAACAACAACAUCAAGACUUAUAAGAACGACAUUUAAAAACACAGCUAUAUGUUUGUGAAUGAACUCUGGGUAAAGAGUAUGGCCUGCUCCUGUUUGAGCCUAGUGCAUGGCCAUUCACCCCACUGCAGGCAGUCUAACGUCUGCCUUCUCCCUCCAUGGCAGGGUGGAUGUGGUGAUCUGCCUGAGCACCACCGUGCGCAACGACACUCUGCAGGAGGCCAAGGAGCACCGGGUGUCUCUCAAGUGCCGCAAGCAGCUCCGUGUGGAGGAGCUGGAGAUGACAGAGGACAUCCGUUUGGAACCAGAUCUGUAUGAAGCCUGCAAGAGUGACAUCAAGAACUACUGUUCUACAGUGCAAUAUGGAAAUGCUC